CUCUUCUGGAGAUUUGUGCUCCGGAGCUUUGCAGUGAGCCCAGGAUGGUUGCAGCACUUGCAACACACAGGACUCUGAUGCCUGGCAGUCAAUUGGAUGCAACCAGUGCUGCUUUGAACAGGGCAGGACUGGAGACAACCUAGCACGUGGCACACAAAAUGGCACCCACUGAUAUUCAUCAGCACUUACUGAAUGUUUCUGGAGACCAAACAGUGGAUGUGAGCACGGUGAGGCUAUGGGUGGUAUGUUUCAGCAGUGGCAACACUGACUGUGCGUCACCUCUGCUGGUGCGGAUG